rnacentral:ncRNA from 2 species
UAGCAUCACUAGGGGAGCCUUAAGGCUGAGACUGAACAACUGUUCUAAACUCUUUGAACCUGAUCCGGUUGAAACCGGCGGAGGGAAGUGGCAAGCAGCACUU